CUACGCACUCCUACGGGAGGCAGCAGUGGGGAAUAUUGCACAAUGGGCGCAAGCCUGAUGCAGCCAUGCCGCGUGUAUGAAGAAGGCCUUCGGGUUGUAAAGUACUUUCAGCAGUGAGGAAGGUGGAUAUGUUAAUAGCAUAUUCAUUUGACGUUAGCUGCAGAAGAAGCACCGGCUAACUCCGUGCCAGCAGCCGCGGUAAUACGGAGGGUGCGAGCGUUAAUCGGAAUUACUGGGCGUAAAGCGCAUGCAGGUGGUUUGUUAAGUCAGAUGUGAAAGCCCGGGGCUCAACCUCGGAAUUGCAUUUGAAACUGGCAAACUAGAGUACUGUAGAGGGGGUAGAAUUUCAGGUGUAGCGGUGAAAAUGCGUAGAGAUCUGAAGGAAUACCGGUGGCGAAGGCGGCCCCCUGGACAGAUACUGACACUCAGAUGCGAAAGCGUGGGGAGCAAACAGGAUUAGAUACCCUGGUAG
rnacentral:rRNA from 1 species